rnacentral:lncRNA from 1 species
CCAUUCUACACGUGGUUCUUUUGUGUCUGGAUUUCUUGCAUAUUGAAAACCUAUUCCUCCUUUUAGACUUGAAUGUCUCACCGGCGCCUUUAGUGAGUUUGAAUUUCUUCCUUCUGAGUUUGGGAUCGUAUGGGGGUGGAGAAAUUUUGGUGUCUACCAAUUCCUGUGGCACAGUCCAUUCAGCCUCCGAAAGGAUCACGUUAAUUGCUUCCGAGAUGCGAGGAGGUAACUUUCAGCUUUAUAAAUUGGCGAAGAGUAGUCGUAUAUGGAGUUACCAUUAUUUUCGCCAUCGCCGUACUUUGCUCGCAAAGCUGUCAUCGCGUGUUCGCACGGUAUUU